AUCAAAUAAAAGGAUUUCUUAAUGGGCCGAUUUAUUAUUAGAUUUUAAUAGAGCUUGAGUUAAGCCCAGUCAAAGUUAGCACGUGAUAAACUGUAAUCUGAAACCCUAAGGCUUUUAAGGCGGAAGAGCAGCUCGAACGACGGCGACCGGAUAUUUGCUCGAGCGGCGGCGACCGAUUUCGAUCUGAAUCAAUGUUUCGGAGGAACAGGUUUUUGUCUUUCCCAUUGGUGAUUGGAGCUGCUGUGAUUGGUGUGGUAUCAGGAAAAGCGAUAUUCGGACCUCCCCUUGAUGACUACUGGAAGAAGAAGCUCGAAGGAGAAGCUGCUGCAAAGGAAGCCGUUGAAAAGAGCUCAGAUUAAGCCUUAAUUAUGUAAAUCACAGACCAUAACUAAAGAGCUUCGAUAAAUGUUUGCAAAUCGAUAAAGAGGAAGGAAUCGUUGUUUUAUUGUAGGAGGCGAUACAAAAGCCAGAAAGUGUAAUAAUAAUGUAAGUGCCUUGUAUGUCACGUCUUUUUUUUUUUUGCAAUUCGAAGAAGAAUGAUAAACACUAAAAGCACCAUUCUUGUUU